rnacentral:lncRNA from 1 species
CAUGGAACUCAGGAUAUGAAAACCAUAUAUUUUCGAAAUGGAACAAUUUAUUUAAAGGUAGCCUUUGUCCCAUUUCGAGGAGUAGUGGGAAGUGGUCCGAUGUGGUUUCCGCUAUCGGAGUAAGAACACAUGACAGAAAGUUUGUCAACCAUUCUGUUAUUGCUAUGCAAUGGUCCAACUUUGGGAGCAAUGGGUUCUCUCUAUGAUUGGACCA